GUGAGUGUGACUUUAAAUCUGGAUGGAGAUUCGCAGGGUUUAUUUGUGUAUAAAUAGAGGGGAUACAUAAAUUAACGUCAUUGAGAUUGAGGAAUCAGGAGAGGCCACUAGUUAACAACCUAUUUAGAUUUGAUUAAAUCAUCAAAACUAGGAGUUGUUUCCGUCCAUCUUGAUUCCACCCAUACUGUCGGGAGAUAGACAGUAGGCUACAGUUGUUAACUAACGCAUCGGGAGGGAUAACGUUUUCAACCGAUGGCGAGAGACAGCUAGGAAGGUAGACUCCAGUCGACCGGAUGAGCAGGAAAGCCCGUGGUCGCAACGAGCGGCGGGAAGUGAAGGCCCGAGGCUAGCAAAGCUAGCAAGGACCGUCAAAGCUAGAGGAGCUAACGAAGCUACCGGAGCUCACGACGGAAUGAGCAGGAAAGCCCGUGGUCGCAACGAGCGGCGGGAAGUGAAGGCCCGAGGCUAGCAAAGCUAGCUAGGACCGUCGAAGCUAGAGGAGCUAACGAAGCUAGCGAAGCUACCGGAGCUCACGACCGAACGAGCAGGAAAGCCCGUGGUCGCAAGAAGUGAAGGCCCGAGGCUAGCAAAGCUAGCUAGGACCGUCGAAGCUAGAGGAGCUAACGAAGCUAGUGAAGCUACCGGAGCUCGCGACGGUCCAAACGAGCAGGAAAGCCCGUGGUCGCAACGAGCGGCGGGAAGUGAAGGCCCGAGGCUAGCAAAGCUAGCAAGGACCGUCGAAGCUAGCGGAGCGUAGCUAGCGAAGCUACCGGAGCUCGCGAAGCACCGAGGAGCGCCGGUCCGCGAGUCGAGCUGACAACCGGACGACAAGGAAACCCCGUGGUCACAACGGUCGGCGGAAAGGGAAGGCCCGAGGCUAGCAAAGCUAGCGGAGCUAACGUGGUCGGAUCACUAUUGGGUCUCAGAUUUCCAUAACAAUUGGCGUUGUCGGCAAGAUCUCUGCAAGUUCGAUUGGGAACACCUACGGACGCUGGUGGUCGCGCUCCAGGAUCCUCGGAUCCUCCUCUACCUCGACAGAAACCGUACGGGACGAGAGGACCAGCGCCGGGGGUGGAACCGAUUGACUUCACGAGAUCCAACGAACUCAAAAGGCUUUCAAUACUCGGUGAGAUGUACAGUGUCUAAAUUGUUUAAAGUUAAACGUAAUUAAACUCCAUGGCAUUUAUGAGAGGGACUGCUCGAAAGUAGGAUAUUUGGGAUAUCCGUCGUGAUUUGGGAUUACGAUUAGUUUUUGUGUGAUUUGUACUGAGAAACAAAUAUCACAUCAUCGACGGAUGAAAAAAUAGUGUUUUGGUAACACGGGGUGUUUUGGUAACACUUAAAGACUUUGUUUUGGGAGCAAAGCAGGUGUUUUGGUAACACUUAAAGACUCUGUUUUGGGAGCAAAGCAGGUAGGAGGCUUGUACACUCUCCGAUUGUGGAUGUCAUGCGAGCAGAAAUGGUGAAAACAGUCUGUCUAAAUGAAAUAUCUGGACGGAAAUGUUCGGAUUUCCAAAGGGAGGUUUUUUGAGUAAAUUAAAAAUCAAGAACCUAAAGAAUAAAUUACAAGAACAUGAAGAUGGAAUGAAGGGUAAAAAUAAAGUUAAAGUAAAAGACUUAUAGAAAACUGGACACUCAAAGAAAGUGUUUAUAAUACUGGGGAGAGAAAAAAGGCAGUUGGCCUUGGGCAUUAAAGAAAAUAUUAAGGUUGAAGAUGAAUGUGAAGAAAAGAAGGAAAAUAAAUCAUUUCCAAAACCAUGUAAACCCCAGACAUCUCUGUGUCCUUCCAUUGCAGGCCUGAAUGACCUCUCCUCGACUGGGUAUCCUUUCCCUCCCCCGGGGUACUACCCUGGCAAUCCGGCUGGCCCACCUCAACCACCUCCACCGCCACUACAAGCCCCAGCCAUGCAGUCCGUCAACUCCAAGCUCGCCACCCCCAUCAGCCCCAAGUAGAUGGGGACAACAGCGGGAUAAACAAACCCGAUGCCCAAGCAGGUGUUUGGGACACACACCUCAGAUAAGGCCUUUCUCAACGGACUCACAGACACAGCGCAAGCUACGCAGAAUGCUGGCCACUCACAAUACAGAGGGAGAGGCAGAAGAGGUUUUCCGAGGCAGAAGACGAGAAGCAAGACCUUCAUUUGACGAAAGAUGUUUCAAGUAUGGCAGUGUUGAACAUUGGGUUAUGUGCAGAGGUGCCCAGUACGUCGACCGCGGGCGACCGGUCGACCGCGGGGGCAAUGCUGGUAGAUCGCGAGUCAUUCAUAAAAAAUGUUAAAAAAAACGUUAAAAUAGACAAA